rnacentral:lncRNA from 1 species
AACCUGUGCUGGGCUCACUCCUACCCCUCACCUUUUUUUCUAGCACUGACCCCAGCCAUCCAGUAGGGACAGGAAGCUCAGAAAGCAGGCUACUUGCCUCUCAGUGGCUAUGGACCUGGAGCAGAAUUGAGUGAGACGGUCCUUGUCUGCCUGCCAGUCUCCCUUCAGACCCUUCUUCACCCACUUCCACUUGUUCACCGCCUUCCCACUGCCAGCCCAGGAAGAGGGUUAGCAAAGGCUGAGCCAGCUCUGACCCAGUCUCCUCUCCCCACGUUUUGGUGGUGACCUCAUGCUGCAGAAAGUAGGGACCUAUGGACAGCUGCGGCCUGCCCUGGGCCCAGGGCCCUUUGGGAGCCCUGACAUGAAGAGAGGCAGCAAUGGCCAGUUGGAAGCCAGUUACGCAGGCCGCUGCCCUCUUGGGAAAUGCUGAGCACCUGAGCUGUCUCCUGCCCAUUGGAGAGCCCCAAAACAGUGGGCUUUGCUGGAGCAAGGAAGGCAGGACGUUGGGGCUUGGCCUCUGAUGGUGCCUAUCCUGGGUCUCCUCUGGGCUGAAGUAUCAAUAAAUGGAAUCUGUUUCCACUUGCCUCUGUGUACCACUGCAGUGAGGGUAGCAGGGGCUGGCAACCACUACCCAGCACCCCAUUCAUUUAUUCAUUCACAAACACCAGUGUGGCUGUGUGCCAGGGGCCGUGCAUCUAGAUGGGUGACAUUGUGAAAA